GCGAGUGCAUCGUUAUUCAGUAAGUUAAGCUAUGGAUUUCAGUUGGAGGAGGAAGGUCGUUGGACUGGCCUUUUUCACACCCGUGUGGUAGUGAGAGAGAGAUCAUGUGCUAUGACGAUCGAUCACAUGAAUUUGAUCAACGCAGCAAGCAUCGAGAUGGUGAAGAAGCUGGAGAUACCAAUAACAGCACAUCCAAAACCAUACUUUUUCCGUUGGGGUCAUGAAGAGCUCACUGUCACGCAACAAACUAAGGUACCGUUUUUGUUGGGAAAAUUCUUUUGCGAGGUUUUGUGCGAUGUGAUUCCAGCGCCGAUGGUUUCGUGCCACUUGUUGUUGGGUGAGCCAUGGUACAAAGAGCAUGAUGUAGUGUAUGAUUAUCACACACACACAUAUACUGUCAAGAAGGGUAAAAAGUGCAAUCUUGUGCCCAUGGAUGAGGAGCGUUUCAUUACAUGGAGGAAAUAA
rnacentral:rRNA from 1 species